UGGGGAAUAACUUCGGGAAACCGAGGCUAAUACCGCAUAAUACCCACGGGUCAAAGGAGCAAUUCGCUUGAGGAGGAGGUCGCGGCCCGAUUAGUUAGUUGGCGGGGUAAUGGCCCCACCAAGACGGUGAUCGGUAUCCGGCCUGAGAGGGCGCACGGACACACUGGAACUGAAACACGGUCCAGACUCCUACGGGAGGCAGCAGUGGGGAAUUUUGCGCAAUGGGGGAAACCCUGACGCAGCAACGCCGCGUGGAGGAUGAAGUCUCUUGGGACGUAAACUCCUUUCGAUCGGGACGAUUAUGACGGUACCGGAAGAAGAAGCCCCGGCUAACUUCGUG
rnacentral:rRNA from 1 species